ensembl:lincRNA
ACACAAAGUGCACUCCCUCUUCAGUUCAGAAGGAGGGCCGGGAGCUGGUUGGGGGGGUGGGUACCGCGUGUGUCGUUCCACUGGCGAGCGGACAUCAGAGAGCUCGGGCCAGUAUGUCUGUGUCUCUGCACCUCUCUUCUGCGAAGCUCGUGCCCCUCGCAGGCUGGCAGGGCCGAGGAGUGUGAGCACGCAGGAGCAGUGCCAGGGGGGACCGGGACGGUCAGGGCGGCGGAGUUGGCACCAGCGGUGCCAGGCUCCGGCUGGCUGGGGCUCCCAACUCUCUCUUGCUCUCCUGGCUGUCUCCUCUGCGCUGGCGCGGACCGCCGGCUGGCAGGAAGGAACUGGUUCCUUGUGGGUAUACUUCUAGAUGUCUGGAUGGGAAACAGAUCACAUACUGCGCCGGCAAACUGUGGAAGCCAAAAAUUCGUCAGCUCUUUCAAGAUCCACGGACCACACCACCAAGAUCCCAACCGCCAGGAUGGACCGGAUGACCUCCUCUCAGCCGGAACCUUUCUUGUGCUAUUAGCGUCAAGUCUGAGCCUCGGACAAAUUCCUGCAACGGCCGAGCCUUGUUCUGAGACGCGUUUGGGCGGUUCGGCUGCCCAGUGUGAAGAAUUCUGUCUUGAAGGCGGCUGACUCCGACCAAGGGUGGAGUUUGAAGCACGCGCGCGUGUGGGCGGAUGAGAGUCAACACCACAUGGAACAAAAGCAGAAAGGAAGACCACGGCCUCUUCUCCAGCAGCAGCUCUCACAGGCUGAAUGUGCUUCUUAACAACAUGAUACAGGCUGCGAACAGGAGGAGGUCUUUCGGCCCAUCUAGCCCUUCGGAGGAGGGUAUCGGGGUAUCAGCUUCAGCAACAAUGCUGGGUAGCUUGUUCCCUUUGGGUGAAGAAGCCACCUGUUCUCUCUUUUAAAUGCACUGCCAUGCAGUUUCCACUCCACUUCGCGUUUCACUGUUUAUCAGCAAGAUCCCUGCUCAGCUGACUUUUCAGGCCUUUUUGAAUACUUGUGUCAGGUCCCCUCCUAGACCUUUUCAUUGAAGAUGAAAGAGUUUCAGUUCCUUUAGCCUAUCAGUGCAGGACAGUGUCUGAAGCCCUGGAAUGUAUCUGGACUGGACUGUGUCUGGACUGACCCCAGAGCAGCAAUAUCUGCUGAUCUCAGAGGUGCUGGAAUGAGAAGUUGUGCUCCCAGAAAUGAUUCUUAAAGGGCCUAACUAUUGCAGCAUGCCACAGAAGAGGGCACCUACCAGCUGAGCUUCACACCUGCUUUUCCAUCUCAAGUGUGGAUGGGCACCAUUAAAGGAGAAAGUGUCCAGUUCCAGCGUGGUGUGGACGUGUGAGCUGAGGCAGAGCUGUGGUCAGAGCCCCUCUUCCUGUGGUCAGAUAAGGACACAGGGGAACCAGCUCCGGGCCUCAACUCCUGGCCAGAGCAAGAUCGAACCCUUGGCCAGGUGGCAUCAGCUCCAUGCUCUGACCUCUCAUCCCUGCGAUGAUGUCUGCCUCACCCUUGCAUUUCACGUGCGAUCACAGGGGAGCCUCCCAGUCAGCCCGUUCCCAGGUGUGAAACUCCAAGAAGAGGAAAGUCCAUCAGAGGGAUCAUUGCAGUGCUGGAUUUCCCAUUAGGCAGUGGAGGCACAGUGCCUGGGGCCUAGGAAGGAGGGAAACAGUGACUAACAAAAACGAGCUGAAACAACAGGCUUGCGAUCGACUCUAGGUGCUCCAAGUCAAUAAUCCUACGCUCUCUAGCGGCUGUUUUAGAAACUAGAAGUAUCGAAGUGAUGGUCGCUGGACUUGCUCCAUCAAUCAUGUGGUUUAAACACUAGAAGAGUUUAAAGUGCAUCAUGUCAAUCGACGUCAUUCAAUGGGCGUUGACCCCUCUUUUUGCACAUUUUGGAGUGAAAGGGCCGACGGGCACCAGAAUCCAGCCCUGGAUUAAUGUGCCCCCUUCCCACUCCGUGCUUGGGGGUGAGCCCCUCCCCAGCUGCUCCUGGGUCCGUCCCGGCGGGCACGCAGCGGGACUCCCCUCUGCUACUGGAGCUGUCGGCGGCGAACUCUACCCCAGGGCUCAGAGCCGGCAUGAGCUGCCCGCUGGGCUCGGUCACGCACAGGCGAAGUGUUCAGUGCCAGGCUGAGCCGGGGUCCCUGUCAGGGUGAGCUGCACUCCGUUCCAGCAGACUGGGGGGGGCGAAACGUCCAGGACAUCGCGCUGAGCGGCCGCUGUGAUGAUGAAGUAUGGGCCGAGCCCAGGGAAUGGGAGACUAUCAACACCUCCUCUGUGGCUGUUCUCCGGAGCCCGGCUAACAGAUAGCCCAAUUUGUGUUGAGUUAUUGCUGAGGUCAGAGGCAAGUCGAUAAACAAAGUUGAGCUCCCGAAACAGAUGCUGCUCUUGAGGAGGGUAAACACAGAGCAUGACUCAGGGAUCAGAUUCCUUCCCAGACUUCCCUCUGGCAGAUACCGUGGUAGAGUCUGGCAGGGGGCCCUGUGUGUGAUGUUGCUGUCCUUCUCUCCAGUGAGCAGCUUUUCCCAGUUUCCUUGGGAGUAUGACACAUCCUAGAAGCACAUGAUCGCCGUUCCGUUAAAACCAAGCAAACAAAAGUCCGCAUUUGCCAGCGCUGCUUUCAAAAGUACGACGUGCCAUAGUCUGAAUUCCUGCUUGCAGAAACAUUCCAAGCUGGGAAAAGACAGGGGAGCAGAACGGAGAGCUGCACAAACCCCUGCAUGAGAAGCAUGACUUGCAUAACCCAGUUUUGUGAAAGUUGAAUUCAGUUGUUGGCAAACUGAGUUUAUCUAGGACAUUCCAGGGAUCUAUAAAUUACAGGCAGAGCGCCCUGAACAGCUGGGGAAGGUCACCUGCACCCAUUCUCCAAUCCAUAAUUUUACAAUUUAAAGGUGUUCAAGCUAAGUGCUUCCAGUGUAUGAAUUAUGGAGGGCGCAGGGGCACAAUCCCCCCCCCUCCACCAUGCUGGAUGAAAGUUGUGCUGUGGAGAGUUUAAAAUAGCUCGGGGAGUGUCUGCAGAGAAACGAGAGCAGACAGGAGCUCCGCUUCUCCUGUUACAUCCUUGUCCAGGGCUGAAAGCUAAAACAAAAAUAAAUUACGUUUGCCCCACGUUUUGCCCUUAAGUAUUCCUUCGAUUUGAAAAGUGCUGUCCGGAGCACGGGGUGUGUUACAUGAGCAGAACCCGACCGAGCGACGGGUGACUUUUUUGACUUAAUGCCCUGUUGUCCCGAGUUCCAUCA